UACGUAGGGGGCAAGCGUUGUCCGGAUUUAUUGGGCGUAAAGAGCUCGUAGGUGGUUCGGUAAGUCGGAUGUGAAAUCUCCAGGCUCAACCUGGAGGGGUCAUUCGAUACUGCCGUGACUAGAGUUCGGUAGGGGAGUGUGGAAUUCCUGGUGGAGCGGUGAAAUGCGCAGAUAUCAGGAGGAACACCCGUAGCGAAGGCGGCACUCUGGGCCGAUACUGACACUGAGGAGCGAAAGCGUGGUGAGCGAACAGG
rnacentral:rRNA from 1 species